ensembl:lncRNA
CUCUCUCUCUCUCUCUCGCUCACUCGCUAGCUAGCUGUGUAUGAAAAAACAGCAGUAGCUCUCUCUUCUGUCCUGCAGUAUCCCACACUCUUGCACACCUCCUCACUCCACCCCAUCCCUCACUCUCCCUCUCCUUCAGCACACCUCCUUCACUUCCUUCGGUUCUACUGUUAGGGAGCUGGGGCCGGAUUGAAGUUCAGACGUUUUUAUGAUUUAAUGCCCGGUCUAGGUGGGGGUAAUGAAGAAGGCUCCAUGCUGUCUACUCCUUAUGAGUUGAAAUCAGGUGAGGAAAUAAAGAACUGUCAGAGUCUUUAAAAGGAUAUUACCUUUACAAUAGGGAAACAGUGAAGCCGUUGUGGUCAGACAAAUGUCAGCGUGAUAUCAGACUCAUUAUUGCUGUCCAUCAUUCAUACAAUGAUAAUCCGCUUCACAGCGCAUGUGUCAGAUGGAAAGAAUGCUAAUCUGGAAGAGGUGCAGAGCUUGGGCUUUUUGGCAGCCAGUUUCCACUGCACACUAGUUUCCAUGUGGUGCCGCUCCAGAGGCCUGGAGAAGCCUGUUUAGGGAACAAAGGACAGGGUCCAGAUUGCAUUUGUAAAAGGUCAGACUCUACUGGACAACUGACCCACAACCUAAAAUCAUACUCCUCUGUCAAGCUGGAGCAGUGGCAGUCUACAUCCAGCAAAUGUUACCAUAUCAAUUAAAAUCCAAAAGUGCAUGGAGUGAGGGUGGACCAUAUGAAUCAGUAAGUCACUCAUGCCAUAUGAUCUCCAUCACCAGACCUUCACCCUUGAGUUGAGGUUUAUAACCCAAACAGUUGUUUAUUUAAAUCAUAUGUUAGGCUCUAAACUGUGUAUUGAGGUUCUUACUGAUUUGAUAACCAGGGAGUCAGUGAGGUAAUAUGAGCUUUCUAUGAUAAACUAGCUAUUUAGGUUAGUAAUAAAAACGUGAGGGGAGCGUGCUGUUAUAGGAAAAUCAUCAAUAACGGGGUUGAGUGAUGCAGCCUGAGGCAAAGUGGAGGUCUGUUACUACCCCAAAGUUGAUGAUUUUCCUAGUACAGCAUACCCCAUUGUGCUGUUAGAGAAAAUUAAUCGAGACAUUCUGACCAAUCACAAUAAAGAAUACAACAGAAUUAUGAUAUAACUGCUAGUAACAAAGAGAGAAACAUUUUUGCACAUCAAUACAAACAGUAGUCUUCCUUGAAAUCUGUUUUCCAACCUGAUAUUCCAAACCUGAUCAGGAAUAUGCUGAUGUGAUGCAAUGAAACCUUGAGCGGAGUCACUUGCUUACUCUCAUUCAGACCAGUGUAUGUUCUCAAUGCUCUCCAGAGAGAAAUUAGUUCUGCACACUCAAGUAUAAGAAGUUAGACUGGAAAAGCAGAUUGCCAAAAACAGUUAAAUUUACCACAGAGUUUUGUCCUUGGGGAAGAAAUAAGCAUAUUUAUUUGCCACUUAAAAUAGUAUACCAGUAGAUGAUACUUCAUAUAGUGGAGUAGUAUUUUGUUUUUUUGAGCAGAUAUGCAGUUUGGGAUGCAGCAUAUGUUUUGCUUGGGAAGUAUAUUGAUUGCUGCUCUGAGCCAGUUUGAAUUAAUUUCUCAUAUAGCAUAUACUGUAUAAUCUCUGUGAAGCUUUUACCAUUGUUGAACUAAAUUUCAGUGAUGUUCCAAUUCAUUACAAUCUAAAAAAUCAAAUCCAAAUUUCACAAUGUAGGCCCCUUGGUUUUCUAAAUCUGCAUUAUCAAAUUUGUUUUAUGCCUUCUUGGUUUCAUAUGACACAGUCUUAAAUACAGCCCAGUCUGCCUGUACAUUUUAGGCCUUAGGGGAAAUGGGUUAGUGUUAUCAUCUUGCUGUUAACACAUUGUCCUGUGCAUGGCGUAUGUGUGUGCCUGUGUGUUAUCACCUGUAAUGACACACCUCACCAGUGACUUAACGCCAAACCUUAGUCUCGUUCUCGUUCUUCCUCGUUUCCCCUUCCUCCUUAAUUUUGAUUGCUGACAAAGUAGUCCGAGAGGCUUCUCGGUCACCCGAGUUCAAAGAGAACUAUGCUUUUUAUUUAACUUCUGUUUGUUAAUGGCCUUGUGGGACAUCUCAGAAUUGUAUAUGGUGAGAUGCUAUAGUGUCUGUUAUGGUUGACAUAGGCAUGGUGAACACUUAUUACACCCGGGUGUCUCAGGCAGUUGGGAACCACCAUCGUUGGACUUCCUGGCCUGCACAGUUAAACUCUGCGCUUCUGCACCAGGUCCAUUUAUGCUGUGAGAGUUUGUUAAGAGAAAUGUUUUGCUUAGCUCAUCAGAAUUGUCCUAAUUAAAAUUUUUUUAUUUUCCUGUUUCAUUUGGAUGGGCUUUAUGACCAUUAACACAACAUUUACAGUGCUCUGAAAUCAGUUUGCUACAUAAUGCAUUUAGUAGUGCCCACAUAAACAAAAAUAGUAGCCACUGACUGGUGGUUUUUGGAAAUUCAGUCCUAAAUGAUCAUUUGAGAUAACAAAAAACAGUGAACAGGGAAAAAAAAUCUACAAGGUAUACUUUUGGAGACCUACAGUACUGUGGAAAAAUCUUAGACACCCUAUUUUAUAUUUUUUUGUACAAACUUUGUUAUAGAUUUUUUAUUUUAUGACUUCUAUAUUAUCGAGUCAGUAAAAAAACAUUUUAGAUUAGAUAGUAAAUGUUACAGAAAAAUAUUUGUAAGUCAGUAUAUAAAGCAACAUAUUACAUAACAGAACACUUUUCAGACAAAAAAAAAACAUAAUGAAGGCUGCUGCAAAAAUAAGAAGCAAGUGUGACAGUCAAAGUCUCCAGAAGAACUGUGUCUGGUUCUGCAUGAUGCUCAUUUUUUUGAGUAUGAGUAUUUCCUUAAAAACUGCACAAAUGGUUCUUGAGACUUUUUUUUUAAAGGAAAGGGUCAUCACGCCAAAUGUUUACUUUUUUUCAUUUAGUACUGUUUGCUGAUCUUUAUAGUAUUUCUUUUAUGUAAAAACAUUUCAUUUCAUUAUUUUUGAAGGCAUCUUUGCUCUAAAUCUGAAAACUGUAUUAUAUUCACUCACCUUAUAUUCAUGUAUAGUUCAGUGCCAUACCUGGACUAAUGAAGAUAAUUAUUAAAUAGCUUAAAAAGCCUCACACUGAGAUAAACGCAGACAUGCUUAACAUGACGAUAUCACUCUCAAAUUUACUCAUGUCUAGUUUCAGACAAUUCUUUCUUACAAGUCAUACUGCAUAUAUUUCAUAUGUGGUAAUGUCAUUGCACUAUGACUCAUUUGUGUGUCUGACUCUCUCCUUCUCUCUUCGCACUCUCACUCUCCCUUUUUGUGUGUGUUUAUGUGAAUUUUAUCUGGAAAGCGUUAUGACUUGCCAAGAGAACACUCAUCCUUCUUUGAGACAGUCAACACAUGGUAUAAAAUUUUGGAAUUAAGAUGUUGAAUACCUUACAACAGAUCAGACUUCGGUUUCGAGAUGAUGAUGUCACUAUGGCCCCGGUGUCUAGAAAGAUUAGUCAUACUGUCUUUUAGACUCAGUGAUAUCAUCACUGUUUUGUGAAUCAUUCGCUGUAUCUGCACUUUCAGAUACUUGGCAAGUGUGAGAGAAGGAAUGCUUUAUUUUGAGGUGAUUAUUGGAACUGUGUGAUUGUUAUCGUGGAACUGCAGGACUAUACGAGUUCUGCGUGUUUAUAUACUUUGUAUGAUUUUACAAAACUGUGAGAUCUUGUGCACAAGUGUAUGCAUGCGUAAUCUGUUGGUUGACCUACACAUAGUUAGGCCCAGGCACACAGUGCUCCUGAUAGGUUUUCCUGUGAUUAGAAAAGCAGUUGCAGGCGUCCGCCAGCGGAAAGAGGUGGUGUUGACUCAGGGCCUCAUGGGGACAUUCUUGUUUUUGUAUGGUGUUCAGGGGCUGGGCAGCUGGAGUGACAGAAAUUCACUCAGCUUUUUUUUUUCACUGUCCACUGCUUUAUUUGGGCUGUGCAGGGCCAUCACUGCCAGAGCAAACCUCUCACUUAAGCGUGCAAGGCCUAACUCAAGGAUAAACACUCUUUUCUCCAAUCACAAUAUGUGCUGCCUGGUGCUGCUUAUUUUGAAUUGAGAUCACGUUCAAAUUUCACACCAUUUAACAUUUCAAAGCAUGAUCAAAUCAUUGAGUGCAUUUAUUUCCUUUUAUUUCUUCUUCUUUUUUUUCCUCAGCUUCAAAAUGUUCUCACUCAUCUCUGAACCCAAUGGGAUGAGAAAAAGUAAUUUGUCUGAACUUUUCAUUAACCACCUCCCUCUUAAGUAAAUUGAUUAGAUUUUUUUUUCAUCUUUGAUAUCAGUUAGACAUUUACAGUCCCCAAAAGUUUACACAAGUGAAUUGAGUAGGUUCCAUCUUUGACUGUGGGCCCACAUCCAACAUACAUAUUAUUCUAACAUCCGUGCUGCCAUGAGACAGUGCCUGCACUGUGUUCAGAGAUGCCAUCCAUGGCUCUCCCCAUUUAAGGUCUGUGGUAAGUCUGAGCAGUCUCACGCCAUAUGUGUAACUGGCAGCAAUUCUGGGACAAUGUCUUAUUUUUUAGUGAUCAUUUGUUGUAGUGUGAACAUCUUCAUAUGUAGGUUUUUCCCCCGGAAAGAUAGAAUAGAUGGAUGGAUGGCUGGAUGGAUUUUAUCUAUUCACAAGUGCACAAUGGAAGGCAAAACAGACACGUCCAUUCACAUACACAUUUAUUAAAAUGAUUACCUUUCAUGGAGUAAUGUUGCUUCCUGAUCCAACAAAAGAGAACACAUUACUAGCCUACAUUAGAAGAUCUGAUUUCCCACAAAAAGAGGAGCCUUUACUAUGUACAGUAUGUUUGUCGGUCCCUACAGAAUUUUUCGAUUUUAUGAUCACGGACAUUAACUUAAACCAAGCAAAUUCUGCAAUAUUUAGAGGAGCUUACAAUUUUUCAAAAUUACAGCAGAUUUGGGCCAAGACGCGUCAUGUGACACCACAACGCACAUUCAGCCAAAGCCCACUUCAAUUCACAUGCGUCGAGCACAAGUACAGCUAAAAGGUCUCAUUUACCAACAAAUAUCACUGCAAAAUAUUGUGCAAAACAGUUUUGUGCAAUUUUUCCAAUUGAAGUAGUUUUCAGAUUAAAAAAGCAUAAAAACUCAGAAGUUGCAUCAUAAAUUUUGAAAAAAGCAACAGCAAAAUCAAGCAUUUUUGGCCGCGACAUUCACAAAAAAAUCCACGAAAUCCUGUACGCACUGGUUUGUGUAGUCAACCCAGUCCAUGGAGUAUUGAUGUAGGGAGCUAUUAGCAAUUCAGUAAUUGUACUACUUUACUGUACUUAAAUACUAUUUUGGAAGAUUUGUACUCUCCUCAAGUAUUAUUGAACCUUGAACUCUUAAGUAAAUUUACAAGAAAAAAACAUUUUUACUCCUUAGAUUUUCAUUUUGACCUUCAAAAAACUUGUUAAAAUUCAUAAAUGCAUGAGAUAUUUUUCUUGUCCAGCUCGUUGGUUCUUGCCUAUUUAAAUUUUAUUAACACAUCCAAUUACAUUCAAAUCAGAGUCACAUGAAACUGUUCUAAUGGGCCUUUGAGCCAGUGCUGUCUUUUGCUGGAUGUAUCACUGAAAUAUACAGGAUGACAUGGUUCCUUUCCUCCCAUGUACAAACGAAAUAAAAAAAUUGCCAUCAAAUCUAAAGACAUAUGCUAAGGUACAGUGCAUCCGGAAAGUAUUCACAGCGCUCCACUUUUUCCAUAUUUUGUUAUGUUACAGCCUUAUUCCAAAAUGGAUUAAAUUCAUUAUUUUCCUCAAAAUUCUACAAACAAUACCCCAUAAUGACAAGAUGAAAGAAGUUUGUUUGAAAUCUUUGCAAAUUUAUAAAAAAAUAAAAAACAAAAAAAGCACAUGUACAUAAGUAUUCACAGCCUUUGCUCAAUACUUUGUUGAAGCCCCUUUGGCACCAAUUACAGCAUCAAGUCUUUUGAGUAUGAUGCUACAAGCUUGGCACACCUAUUUUUGGGCAGUUUCUCCCAUUCUUCUUUGCAGGACGUCUCAAGCUCUAUCAGGUUGGAUGGGGAGCGUCGGUGCACAGCCAUUUUCAGAUCUCUCCAGAGAUGUUCAAUCGGGUUCAAGUCUGGGCUCUGGCUGGGACACUCAAGGACAUUCACAGAGUUGUCCUGUAGCCACUGCUUUGUUAUCUUGGCUGUGUGCUUAGGGUCAUUGUCCUGUUGGAAGAUGAACCUUCACCCCAGUCUGAGGUCCAGAGCAUUCUGGAGCAGGUUUUCAUCAAGGAUGUCUCUGUACAUUGCUGCAUUCAUCUUUCCCUCGAUCCUGACUAGUCUCCCAGUUCCUGCCACUGAAAAACAUCCCCACAGCAUGAUGCUGCCACCACCAUGCUUCACUGUAGGGAUGGUAUUGUCCAGGUGAUGACUGGUGCCUGGUUUCCUCCAGACAUGACGUUUGCCUUUCAGGCCAGAGUUCAAUCUUUGUUUCAUCAGACCAGAGAAUUUUGUUUCUCAUGGUCUGAGAAACAAACCAGGCGGGCUGUCAUGUGCCUUUUACUGAGGAGUGGCUUCCGUCUGGCCACUCUACCAUACAGGCCUGAUUGGUGGAGUGCCGCAGAGAUGGUUGUUCUUCUGGAAGGUUCUUCUCUCUCCACAGAGACACGCUAGAGCUCUGUCAGCGUGACCAUCGGGUUCUUGGUCACCUCCCUGACCAAGGCCCUUCUCACCCGAUCGCUCAGUUUGGCCGGGCAGCCAGCUCUAGGAAGAGUCCUGCUGUUUCCAAACUUCUUCCGUUUACGGAUGAUGGAGGCCACUGUUCUCAUUGGGAUCUUCAGUGCUGCAGAAAUGUUUCUGUACCCUUCCCCAGAUCUGUGCCUCGAUACAAUCCUGACUCAGAGGUCUACAGACAAUUCCUUGGACUUCAUGGCUUGGUUUGUGCUCUGACAUGCAUUGUUAACUGUGGGACUUUAUAUAGAUAGGUGUGUGCCUUUCCAAAUCAUGUCCAAUCAACUGAAUUUACCACAGGUGGACUCCAAUCAAGUUGUAGAAACAUCUCAAGGAUGAUCAGUGGAAACAGGAUGCACCUGAGCUCAAUUUUGAGUGUCAUGGCAAAGGCUGUGAAUACUUAUGUACAUGUGCUUUUUUUGUUUUUUAUUUUUAAUAAAUUUGCAAAGAUUUAAAACAAACUUUUUUCACAUUGUUAUUAUGGGGUAUUGUUUGUAGAAUUUUGAGGAAAAUAAUUAAUUUAAUUGAUUUUGGAACAAGGCUGUAACAUUACAAAAUGUGGAAAAAGUGAAGCGCUGUGAAUACUUUCCGGAUGCAUUGCAUAUUAGUUUUCAGUUUGGAAAAUCGGAUAACUAGUAUCAGAUUUUUGCUGCUAAUGCCACCUUAUUCAUUUCAAAAGGUUUUUAAACAUUAGUUAACCAGAUGGUCAAAUUUUAGUUUAGUCUGAGUUAUCAGAAUAUUUAAUAAAUAUUUGAUAACAUAAAUAAAAAGGAAUAUGAAUAUUUCUUGAAUACUUGCAUAUGUAUAAAUAUAGAUAGUCUCUGACUUUCAUUAAAGUAGAUUUUUAGGUCCAUACAUCCACCCUGGUUAUUAGACAAAGCCAUCACCACAUCCUCUACCUGAACACUGAAGGGUCUUUUUCAUAAUUCUCCAUAAAAUCCCCUGAAAUCUGCCAUUAGUUAUUGUUGAGUUGCAGAUUAAGCUCCACAAGACAGAAGUAUUUUUCUAGUCUUCUUAAUUAUGGACAAUGCACCCUUCAAAGGGGAAAUCAUCAGUGGGUCACACAAACUGGAGUUGCAUUCAUUUUCCUGGUCUGGGUAACAGUUGCAACAGGUUCAGAAGGUCAGCCCAGACUUUUCUGUUUACAGAAAUGAGUGGUACAUUUCCACAGAUUCAUAGGUGAGGAUAUUAACAUAGAUUGAAGUUUUGUCCACAAUCAAAAUUCACCACCACAGACCUGUACAGUGACUGUAGCACUGCUGCCACUGACCUGAUCCAUUUGACAGUCUUACACUCUUUUUCUGCAUUUGUGAUCCAAAUUUGUUAUGAGUAAUGUAUAUAAUCUAUGUAGUCCAUAAUGUACCCGUAACACUUCCCAGUUUUUCUCUUUGAAGUCUUCAUGCAGGUACACCCACUUCUUUCCUCACAACCCUGUUCGUGAAGGCCAAAUAUUUAAGCAUGGUCUCAUCAGGGAAAGGUGCAACUUAUGGUCAGAUCUGCCCAAAGGUGGAAGACCAGCAGACACUCUUCCUAUUUGUUACACAUAUUUCCUACAUGAAUGCCAUGACAGUAUAGCUGAACAAUUUAACACACCUCAUUUCUUAAAUAUUUAUUUGAGUUUAUUUGAGCCAAGUUUAGGGCAGUUGGCUGUGCUUAAAGUGGGUAAGGAAAGGAUUCAGGUUUUGCUCACUUUUUAUUGUUAUAGAUUUAAACCGGACUUAAUCUACUUUUUGACCAUUAAUCUACACACAGUAACCCAGAGAGACAAAGCAAAAAAACAGGUUUUUAAAACAACUUUGCAAAUUUAUCAAAUAUCAAAAAAUGACAUCUCUCAUUUAGAUGUGUAUUAAGAACCUUUGGCAGAAAUUACGGCUUCAAGUCUUCUUGGCUAAACCUUUACAAGAUUUUCACACCUGGAUUUGGCCAGUUUCUCCCGUUUUUCCUGGCAGAUCCUUUCAAGUUCAUUUAGAUUGAUUGGGUAGAAUCUGAACUGCCAUCUUCAGGCCUCCACAGAUGUUCUUUGGGGUUCAAGUCUAAGUCUGGGCCACUCCAGUAUUGCCUUGAUUGUACUGAAAGGUGAACCUCACAUCAGUCUAAGGUUGUCUGCACCCUGGAGCAGGUUUUCUUCCAGGACCUCUCAUAAUUUGUCUGCACUAAAACUUCCCAGAUUCUGACCGGUCUCCCAGUCUUUGCUGCUGAGAACCACUCCCAUAGCAUGAUGCCGCCGCCACCAUGCUGAGGUCUACAGAAAAUUCCUUAGACUUCAUGCCUUGGUUUUUGGUCUGACAUGCACUGUCAGUUGUGGGACCUUAUAAAAACAGGUUUGUGCCUUUCCAAAUCAUGUCCAAUCAAUUGAAUUUACCACAGGUGGACUCCAGUCAAGUUCUACAUACAUCUAAAAGAUGAUUAAAGCAAAUAGGAUGUACCUGAGCUCAAUUUGAAGUAGCUUAGCCAAGGGUUUGAAUACUAAAUAUCUAAAUGAGAUAUUUUGGGAUAAAUUUCGGGUUUGAUUUUUAAUACAGUUGCUAAAAAUUCUAAAAAUCGUGUUUUUGCUUUUUCAAAGAAUAUUGUAUACAGAUUAUUAAAUCUUUAAUACAAUAAAGUUUGCCAAAACUGAAGGAGUUUGAAUCUUUCUGAACCCACUGUAGAAACAGACUGGAUUUACAUGAUGAGUGUUAUACUAAACUUGCACACUCAUAUUUAGUGUCGUUUUAAGUUUUCCUUAAAUGCUUGCAUUGAUUCAUGAAAAAAAAAAUGUAAUCAGUCUGUACAGCUAGAUGCAUUAAACAUUAAUUGUUAUGUGGAAUUUUAUGGAAUGACUUCUCUAUCUGGAAUGAUGCUCCUACUGAGAAGCGGUCAGCAGGAAAAAAAAUCAGUAUGCCUCAAACUAAUCACAUAAUGUCUAACUAAUGGCAUGUUGUAUCUGCCCAGUAGUACUAGACAUUCUGGAGAGCAUUCCAGCAGUAACAAUCCAUCCAGUGGUUGAUACACAGCAUUGCAUUACAGACAGACUGUUCUUGUAUUUGACAUGCAUUUUGAUAGUCAGCGGUUGCCAGGUUCCCUGAGCUGCGACAUUUUGUGCCAGAUUCACAAGGCGUUCAAGGGUGUGUUGUUUAUGAGACCAGUGAUUGUUUUAACAGAGAAGUUUCUUUUGUAUUUAAUUCUAUUUAUAGAAGUGCUGUAAAAAUCCAACCUCUUAUGUAACACAUUCUUAAAACUGAGCAGUUGUCUAAGCCAUUCUAAAUCUAACAAAGUGAAAAGCCAUUUAAUGCAUUUCAUAUGUUAAGAGAUGAUUACUGACAUCUUUAAUAAUGUAAUGUAGAAUGGAAGAGACUAACCAUACAUGCGUGUAAACUCCAUUCAUAAUUGCAAAACACAAGCUCAAAUUGUAUUUUGAUCCUUGUGUGCUCUGUAACUCCAAAUUAUUUUUCCUUUACUAAGUGUCUUUUACAUCAAAUUGAAAUAUUUGCAUUUACAUAGUUUUUUUUUUGGUUGUAUUUUUGUUGAGCAGAUGCAUUUAUUCAAAGUUACUUAUAAUUAAGGUGUUGCAUGACAUUUGGGUUAUUUGGGUACUUAUGCUACUGCAUGACAAACCUGGAGGAUGGUAAAGACACAGGUAGCCAGCUCUGGUCCUGGAGAACGCUUGUCCUACACAUUUUAGUGUUUUACCUGCAGCUUAUUCCUAUUGCUAUUAACCUGGAGGUUCAUAUCCUUUCAUGGUACAUCAGAGAAAUAAAGCUGAAUAAUGUCCUUAAGUUGAUGAAAAAAUUGCAUACCAUAAAACCAGUAUAUUUUGAUUACUGCUUCUCGGUCAAAGCGGUGGCGUAAUUGGUCUUCUAAGCUGGUUCAGUAAAUGGAUACAUUUUUAUUGCAUCUUAACUCUUGCACAUAUUCAUGUGUGAAAUAGAAAUACGUCCCCUGAAAGUCAUAAGUCAAAACUGCAGCAAUAAUUUUGUAUGGUAUUGUCAUAAAAUAGUUUGUACAAAUUGAAAAGUUAGGAGCUCUUUCCUUUUGUGUUUAUAAUACUUCUUACAGGUUUACUUAUAUAAACUAUAUGGCCAAAUGUUUGUGGACACCUGACCAUCACACCCAUUUGUGGGCCUUCUCUAAAUUGUAGGCACAGAGUCAGAAUUGUAUAAGAUGUCUUUGUAUGCUGUAGUUUUACAAUUUCCCUUCACUGGAACUGAGGGGCCCAAGUCUGCAAUUCCAGCAAGGCAAUACCCCUGUGCACAGGGCAAGCUCCGUGAAGACAAGGUCUGCUAAGGUUGGAGUGGAAGAAUUUGAGUGGCUGCACAGAGACCUGACCUCAACCCAAUUGAACAUCUUUGGAAGAACUGGAACAACGACAUGCCCCAGGCCUUCUCAAACGACACCAGUGCCUCACCUGACUAAUGCUCUUGUGGCUGAAUGAGCACAAAUCCCCACAGCCACCCUCCAAUAUCUAGUGGAAAGCCUUCCCAGAAGAGUGGAGGUUACUAUAACAGCAUAAAGGAUUAAAUCUGGAAUGGUAUGUUCAAAAAGCUCAUACAGUGCAUCCGGAAAGUAUUCACAGUGCUUCCCUUUUUCCAUAUUUUGUUAUGUUACAGCCUUAUUCCAAAAUGGAUUAAAUUCAUUAUUUUCCUCAAAAUUCUACAAACAAUACCCCAUAAUGACAAGAUGAAAGAAGUUUGUUUGAAAUCUUUGCAAAUUUAUUAAAAAAUAAAAAACAAAAAAAAGCACAUGUACAUAAGUAUUCACAGCCUUUGCUCAAUAUUUUGUUGAAGCCCCUUUGGCACCAAUUACAGCCUCAAGUCUUUUGAGUAUGAUGCUACAAGCUUGGCACACCUAUUUUUGGGCAGUUUCUCAAAUUCUUCUUUGCAGGACCUCUGAAGCUCCAUCAGGUUGGAUGGGGAGCGUCGGUGCACAGCCAUUUUCAGAUCUCUCCAGAGAUGUUCAAUCGGGUUCAAGUCUGGCCUCUGGCUGGGACACUCAAGGACAUUCACAGAGUUGUCCUGUAGCCACUGCUUUGUUAUCUUGGCUGUGUGCUUAAGGUCGUUGUCCUGUUGGAAGAUGAACCUUCACCCUAGUCUGAGGUCCAGAGCGCUCUGAAGCAGGUUUUCAUCAAGGAUGUCUCUGUACAUUGCUGCAUUCAUCUUUCCCUCGAUCCUGAAUAGUUUCCCAGUUCCUGCCACUGAAAAACAUCCCCACAGGAUGAUGCUGCCACCACCAUGCUUCACUGUAGGGAUUGUAUUGUCCAGGUGAUGACUGGUGCCUGGUUUCCAGGCGGGCUGUCAUGUGCCUUUUACUGAGGAGUGGCUUCCGUCUGGCCACUCUACCAUACAGGCCUGAUUGGUGGAGUGCUGCAGAGAUGGUUGUUCUUCUGGAAGGUUCUCCUCUCUCCACAGAGACACGCUGGAGCUCUGUCAGAGUAACCAUCGGGUUCUUGGUCACCUCUCUGACCAAGGCCCUCCC